rnacentral:rRNA from 1 species
UACAGAGGGUGCGAGCGUUAAUCGGAAUUACUGGGCGUAAAGCGUGCGUAGACGGUUUCGUAAGUCGGGUGUGAAAUCCCCGGGCUCAACCUGGGAAUUGCAUUCGAAACUGCGAGGCUAGGGUACGGAAGAGGGAAGCGGAAUUUCUGGUGUAGCGGUGAAAUGCGUAGAUAUCUGGAGGAACACCGGUGGCGAAGGCGGCAUCCUGGACCAACACUGACGCUGAGGAGCGAAAGCCAGGGGAGCAAACGGG